rnacentral:rRNA from 1 species
CAGGACGAACGCUCGGCGGCGUGCCUAAUACAUGCAAGUCGAACGGUCUUUCUAUGGAAGCUUGCUCCACUGAAAGAUAGUGGCGAACGGGUGAGUAACACGUGGGUAACCUGCCCAUAAGAGGGGGGAUAACAUCCGGAAACGGGUGCUAAUACCGCAUAGUUUUCUUGAUCGCAUGAUCGGGAAAGGAAAGACGGCCUUUGUGCUGUCGCUUAUGGAUGGACCCGCGGCGUAUUAGUUAGUUGGUGAGGUAACGGCUCACCAAGACGAUGAUACGUAGCCGACCUGAGAGGGUGAUCGGCCACAUUGGGACUGAGGCACGGCCCAAACUCCUACGGGAGGCAGCAGUAGGGAAUCUUCCGCAAUGGACGAAAGUCUGACGGAGCAACGCCGCGUGAGUGAAAGAAGGUUUUCGGAUCGUAAAACUCUGUUGUCAGAGAAGAACAAGUUGGAGAGUAACUGCUCCAGCCUUGACGGUAUCUGACCAGAAAGCCACGGCUAACUACGUGCCAGCCGCCGC